UUUAUUUUAUAUCGUGGUGAUAUAUGCUAAAACUGUUGCUUUUGGUCCUGCAUUAAAACUUGAAUAUGUAGGGAAUUUUUCAAGGAUUCAUCCCUGGAGAUACAGUAUUUGUUUUUCUCUGUUUGACUUAUUUUGCUUAGCAUAAUACCCUCUAGGUACAUCCAUACUGUAGUAAAUAUCAGGAUCUCGUCCUUUUUGAUGGCUGAGUAAUAUAACAUUGUGUGUAUGUACAACUUCGUCUUCUGUUACUGGACACUUGGGCUCCUUCCAUAUCUCGGCUAUGGAAAAAAAAAUGCUGCUGUAGGCUUAGGGGUGCCUCUGUGCUUUCAGAAUGUUGAGUCUGAUGUGUCAACUGCCACAACAGUCGUGGCAACUCAGGAAGGGAGCCAGGUCCAGGAGAAAGCAACACAUGUUUAUUGAAGAAUAGUGGGAAACCCCAGAGAAACUGAAGGAAGAAAAUAAGCACUCAGCUGAAGACAACCAUUCAAGAGUUCUGGCACCUUUUCCUCCCAACUUUCACUGAAGUUGAACAGAUAAAUGUAUAUAUAUAUGAAGUGAUUUCCGGGAAAGACCAAAAAAAAAAAAAAA